rnacentral:rRNA from 1 species
CCUACGGGUGGCUGCAGUGGGGAAUAUUGGACAAUGGGCGAAAGCCUGAUCCAGCCAUGCCGCGUGUGUGAAGAAGGCCUUCGGGUUGUAAAGCACUUUCAGUGGGGAAGAAAGCCUUGGGGCUAAUACCCUCGAGGAAGGACAUCACCCACAGAAGAAGCACCGGCUAACUCCGUGCCAGCAGCCGCGGUAAUACGGAGGGUGCGAGCGUUAAUCGGAAUUACUGGGCGUAAAGCGCGCGUAGGCGGUCUGAUAAGCCGGUUGUGAAAGCCCCGGGCUCAACCUGGGAACGGCAUCCGGAACUGUCAGGCUAGAGUGCAGGAGAGGAAGGUAGAAUUCCCGGUGUAGCGGUGAAAUGCGUAGAGAUCGGGAGGAAUACCAGGGGCGAAGGCGGCCUUCUGGACUGGCACUGACGCUGAGGUGCGAAAGCGUGGGUAGCAAACAGGAUUAGAUACCCUUGUAGUC